rnacentral:misc_RNA from 1 species
GAUGAAGAACGUAGCGAAAUGCGAUAAGUAAUGUGAAUUGCAGAAUUCAGUGAAUCAUCGAAUCUUUGAACGCACAUUGCGCCCGCCAGUAUUCUGGCGGGCACGCCUGUCCGAGCGUCAUUUCAACCAUCAAGCCCCCGGGCUUGUGUUGGGGACCUGCGGCUGCCCGCAGGCCCUGAAAACCAGUGGCGGGCUCGCUGUCACACCGAGCGUAGUAGCAAUCACCUCGCUCAGGGCGUGCUGCGGGUUCCGGCCGUUAAACAGCCUUACAAAACCCAAGGUUGACCUCGGAUCAGGUAGGAAGACCCGCUGAACUUAAGCAUAUCAAUAAGCGGAGGA